rnacentral:rRNA from 1 species
GAUGAACGCUGGCGGCGUGCCUAAUACAUGCAAGUCGAGCGAACGGACGAGAAGCUUGCUUCUCUGAUGUUAGCGGCGGACGGGUGAGUAACACGUGGAUAACCUACCUAUAAGACUGGGAUAACUUCGGGAAACCGGAGCUAAUACCGGAUAAUAUUUUGAACCGCAUGGUUCAAAAGUGAGAGACGGUCUUGCUGUCACUUAUAGAUGGAUCCGCGCUGCAUUAGCUAGUUGGUAAGGUAACGGCUUACCAAGGCAACGAUGCAUAGCCGACCUGAGAGGGUGAUCGGCCACACUGGAACUGAGACACGGUCCAGACUCCUACGGGAGGCAGCAGUAGGGAAUCUUCCGCAAUGGGCGAAAGCCUGACGGAGCAACGCCGCGUGAGUGAUGAAGGUCUUCGGAUCGUAAAACUCUGUUAUUAGGGAAGAACAUAUGUGUAAGUAACUGUGCACAUCUUGACGGUACCUAAUCAGAAAGCCACGGCUAACUACGUGCCAGCAGCCGCGGUAAUACGUAGGUGGCAAGCGUUAUCCGGAAUUAUUGGGCGUAAAGCGCGCGUAGGCGGUUUUUUAAGUCUGAUGUGAAAGCCCACGGCUCAACCGUGGAGGGUCAUUGGAAACUGGAAAACUUGAGUGCAGAAGAGGAAAGUGGAAUUCCAUGUGUAGCGGUGAAAUGCGCAGAGAUAUGGAGGAACACCAGUGGCGAAGGCGACUUUCUGGUCUGUAACUGACGCUGAUGUGCGAAAGCGUGGGGAUCAAACAGGAUUAGAUACCCUGGUAGUCCACGCCGUAAACGAUGAGUGCUAAGUGUUAGGGGGUUUCCGCCCCUUAGUGCUGCAGCUAACGCAUUAAGCACUCCGCCUGGGGAGUACGACCGCAAGGUUGAAACUCAAAGGAAUUGACGGGGACCCGCACAAGCGGUGGAGCAUGUGGUUUAAUUCGAAGCAACGCGAAGAACCUUACCAAAUCUUGACAUCCUUUGACAACUCUAGAGAUAGAGCCUUCCCCUUCGGGGGGGCAAAGUGACAGGUGGUGCAUGGUUGUCGUCAGCUCGUGUCGUGAGAUGUUGGGUUAAGUCCCGCAACGAGCGCAACCCUUAAGCUUAGUUGCCAUCAUUAAGUUGGGCACUCUAAGUUGACUGCCGGUGACAAACCGGAGGAAGGUGGGGAUGACGUCAAAUCAUCAUGCCCCUUAUGAUCUGGGCUACACACGUGCUACAAUGGACAAUACAAAGGGCAGCGAAGCCGCGAGGUCAAGCAAAUCCCAUAAAGUUGUUCUCAGUUCGGAUUGUAGUCUGCAACUCGACUACAUGAAGCUGGAAUCGCUAGUAAUCGUAGAUCAGCAUGCUACGGUGAAUACGUUCCCGGGUCU